GACGAACGCUGGCGGCGUGCUUAACACAUGCAAGUCGAGCGGAAAGGCCCCUUUGGGGGUACUCGAGUGGCGAACGGGUGAGUAACACGUGAGUAACCUGCCCUUGACUUCGGGAUAACUUCAGGAAACUGGGGCUAAUACCGGAUAGGAAUCCUUGCUGCAUGGUGGGGGUUGGAAAGCUUCGGCGGUUUUGGAUGGACUCGCGGCUUAUCAGCUUGUUGGUGGGGUAGUGGCUUACCAAGGCUUUGACGGGUAGCCGGCCUGGGAGGGCGACCGGCCACAUUGGGACUGAGAUACGGCCCAGACUCCUACGGGAGGCAGCAGUGGGGAAUAUUGCACAAUGGGCGGAAGCCUGAUGCAGCAACGCCGCGUGCGGGAUGACGGCCUUCGGGUUGUAAACCGCUUUCAGCAGGGGCGAAGCUUGUGGUGACGGUACCUGCAGAAGAAGCACCGGCUAACUACGUG
rnacentral:rRNA from 1 species